UCACCUGCCACCACUCAGCCUCCUCCUCCUCCUCUGCCCACUAACUACACUCUCCCAUCUCUUGUCUGCAUCAUUGCACUGGUUUUUCUUCUGCUACUGGUUCUACUGGUUCGGCGAGGAAUUCAUAGGAAAGAGCCCAAACAUACAAGUGAAGAACAGGAAGUUGAAGAUGACAGAAUCAUCUACAGUGAUGUCAGAAUAAAACGGCUUCAUCAUGAGAAUAAACCACUAAAUGAAGGUUCUGAUCCAGAUGCAGUUUAUUCCUCAGUGAGAAAAGAAGAAACCAGAAUGACCAGAAACUGAUCAGAGAAAAAAAUAACUGAUCUACAUU